GCCAUUGCUUCGCCGUCUUGGCUGACAUUUACAUCGAAAUGCGCCUCUUUUAGCUUUAGUAUCACCUUCUGUGUCUUUGUCUGUCUUGGUCCUGUCUGCUCUGUUUCUUCUUUUCUGUAUUCCCCUCUGCUGCUCUGGCCCGGCUCCCUGUGUCAGACACCCUGCUGCUGCUCUUCAAACCUUUGGCCUCGUCCUGUGAAAGCCAGCAGGCCAUGCAUUUCAAAGUAUUUCCACACCAGUGCCCAACACUGAAAACGUGAUCUUCAUCAUAGGUUUGUCCACCUGCAACAUGGCUGACUUGGAGAAGAACUGGAGAAGCUGUAAUUUGUCAGCGAUGAGCCUUCUGGUGCUUGCUGGAUGUAACAGCAACUCCAUGUGGAAGCGUUGUCUGUUCCAGUGGAGGUGCUGUUACCUGCAGAGAGCCGCCGAACACAACCCGACGAGGCCUGAACACUUCCUGAGAGGGCGCAAAGCUCGCUGUUUCAUUAAAUGUUGAGUUAGUUUUUUAUUUUGAAGUAGCUGAAGAGUAAUGGGACACAAGGCGAUGACCUAUGAAUUGACAGCCAGUGAUUGUAAUAUCUGCCUGUCAGUUCUGUAGGCCACUGCUGUGUUUGUCCCUCUAAAUGUGUACAGCACAGAUGUGGAUGUGUCUACAGUCGGUGUAUCGACGAGCCAACUGGGACGUUUGUGCCUUUUAUACACAUCGUAAUUGUUUUUGAAGCAUAUUUUACAAUGAAUAAAGUUUGAAUGUGUUGCUUUA